GGAUGGGACUAAGACAUGCUAGUUGAGCGCCUCUAGCUAUGGUGAGGCGCGGCUUACAGCUCAGUAACACGUGGCUAACCUGCCCUUGGGACAGAGACAACCCCGGGAAACUGGGGCUAAUAUCCGAUAAGUGAGGAACUCUGGAAUGGUUUCUUGCUGAAAGGGUUUCUAAAACAUGCUUUUACACGUCGCCCAAGGAGGGGGCCGCGGCCGAUCAGGUUGUUGGUGGGGUAAAGGCUCACCAAGCCUUUGACCGGUACGGGCCGUGGGAGCGGGAGCCCGGAGAUGGGCACUGAGAUAAGGGCCCAGGCCCUACGGGGCGCAGCAGUCGCGAAACCUCCACAAUUCACGAAAGUGUGAUGGGGCUAACCCGAGUGCCGUCCGAUAAGGAUGGCUUUUCCCCAGUGUAAGGAUCUGGGGGAAUAAGGAGAGGGCAAGACUGGUGUCAGCCGCCGCGGUAAUACCAGCUCUCCGAGUGGUGGGGACGCUUAUUGGGCCUAAAGCAUUCGUAGCCGGCUGGGCAAGUCCUCCGUAUAAUCCAACGAUUCAAUCGUUGGCCUGCAGGUGAUACUGUCUGGCUAGGAGGCGGUAGAGGCCGACGGUAUCUCCGGGGUAGGGGUGACAUCCUAUAAUCCC
rnacentral:rRNA from 1 species